GUCUUUUUGUUAAUAAUUUAAAGUCGAAUCUGCCCACUGAUUAAUAAUUAAAGGGCUGCAGUAUAUUGACUGUACAAAGGUAGCAUAAUAAUUAGUCUUUUAAUUGAAGACUUGUAUGAAAGAUUUGAUGAGAUAUAAACUGUCUCUUUUUUAUAAUUUGAAUUUAAUUUUUUAGUAAAAAAGCUAAAAUUUAUUUAAAAGACGAGAAGACCCUAUAGAGUUUUAUAAUUAAAUUAAUUAUGAAUUUGUAUUUAAUUUAAAAAUUAAUUAUUUUAAUUAUUUUAUUGGGGUGAUAAAAAAAUUAAUUUAACUUUUUUUUUAAAAUAAACAUUAAUUAAUGAAUAAAUGAUCCAUUUUUUAUGAUUAUAAGAAAAAAUUACCUUAGGGAUAACAGCGUAAUUUUUUUUUUUAGUUCUUAUAAGAAAAAAAGUUUGCGACCUCGAUGUUGGAUUAAGAUAAAAUUUAAAUGCAGAAGUUUAAAAUUUUGAUCUGUUCGAUCAUUAAAAUCUUACA
rnacentral:rRNA from 1 species